CCAGGGCCCAGGUCCAUAGCACCUGAGCAAGGGAAACAGGACAGACCCUGAAAGGGUGACAGGUCCAACCAAGCCUUCUGCACAUGAGGCAAUAUAGGUGACAGGGCAUGUCCAAAGCCAAGCUGGGAAGUCUCUCCACAAGUGAGGGCUGCAAUCAGAUGCAGUGACUAUGAGGCAGUUUUCCAUAUCCCUUUGAAGUAAAUGACAUUCACAAAGACCAGCGCAGUAUUGAGAUCUACAGAGUCUGACCCAAGGAAGUCUUGGAUCCGUCCUUUAAGAAAGAGACAGGACAGAGAGAGGAAUUGAUGAGCUGUCUUGCUUCCUCUGCAGCUGUUUUGAAGUCAACUUCUUCCAGCUCUGCUUUGUAGAAUUUUUUUGCACACUUUACGUAUUCCUAUAAGCAGAAGGGUUACAGUUGUCAGACUGAUGAGAACUUGGAAUUAUAUGGAUGUGAAGACUGUGAAAUAAAGCAGAAUGGUUUAAGGAA